rnacentral:rRNA from 1 species
GAUGAACGCUGGCGGCGUGCCUAAUACAUGCAAGUCGAGCGAACAGACGAGGAGCUUGCUCCUCUGACGUUAGCGGCGGACGGGUGAGUAACACGUGGAUAACCUACCUAUAAGACUGGGAUAACUUCGGGAAACCGGAGCUAAUACCGGAUAAUAUAUUGAACCGCAUGGUUCAAUAGUGAAAGACGGUUUUGCUGUCACUUAUAGAUGGAUCCGCGCCGCAUUAGCUAGUUGGUAAGGUAACGGCUUACCAAGGCGACGAUGCGUAGCCGACCUGAGAGGGUGAUCCGCCACACUGGAACUGAGACACGGUCCAGACUCCUAAGGGAGGCAGCAGUAGGGAAUCUUCCGCAAUGGGCGAAAGCCUGACGGAGCAACGCCGCGUGAGUGAUGAAGGUCUUCGGAUCGUAAAACUCUGUUAUUAGGGAAGAACAAAUGUGUAAGUAACUAUGCACGUCUUGACGGUACCUAAUCAGAAAGCCACGGCUAACUACGUG